AGGACGAACGCUGGCGGCGCGCUUAACACAUGCAAGUCGAGCGAGAACCAGGGCUUCGGCCCUGGGGAAAGCGGCGAACGGGUGAGUAACACGUGAGUAACCUGUCCUCGGCACCGGGAUAGCCCGGGGAAACCCGGAUUAAUACCGGAUGGCCUUUCGAGCUCUCGGGCUCGUUAGAAAAGGUAGCUUCGGCCUCCGGCCGAGGAGGGACUCGCGGCGGAUUAGCUUGUUGGUGAGGUAACGGCUCACCAAGGCAACGAUCCGUAGCUGGUCUGAGAGGAUGAUCAGCCACACUGGGACUGAGACACGGCCCAGACUCCUACGGGAGGCAGCAGUGGGGAAUAUUGGACAAUGGGCGCAAGCCUGAUCCAGCCAUGCCGCGUGAGUGACGAAGGUCUUCGGAUUGUAAAACUCUUUUGGCGGGACGAUAAUGACGGUACCCGCAGAAUAAGCCCCGGCUAACUUCGCGCCAGCAGCCGC
rnacentral:rRNA from 1 species